AUCUAUGACCACUUCACCCUGAACGUGCCUGAUUUCUCACCUGACCUCAGAAGCUAAGCAGAGUCGGGCCAGGUUAGCACUUGGAUGGGUGACCCUGAAGAAUUCAUAGCAGGAUU
rnacentral:rRNA from 1 species